ensembl:lncRNA
AUCUACAAGGUCAGGGAAGGACAGGAAGAGACAUGGAAAACACAGGAAGUUCAAGCCCAGGAGAUACCACUGAAAAACCAAACUAAAAGUCCAACAGUUUGUGAUACAGGACGGCGUGCAAAUGAUCUUCCUGGGAAAUCUCAUCCAGUUCAUCAGUGCAACUUAUUUUGUCAUUGGAAACCACAUGAUAUCGGAACCCGGGACAUUGCUCAGGUGCUGUGGACAGGAGGCCUAUAAUGUGGACCGGCAGUUGUGCUGUGGACGUCUGCGCAGUGAGAAGAUCCUUAAGAAGGAACACAAGGACAGCGUUUGCUGUGGAGACGUCCAGUACAACCCACAGACACAGCGCUGCUGCGGAGAUCCUCCUGAAAUAAAUGAACUCUCAGUUUCCUGUGAGACGGACUGUAAACAGGUUUUGACCCAAGAGCCCACAGGAAACAACAUGAUCCCGGAACCCCGGACAUUGUACAAGUGCUGUGGACAGGAGACCUAUAAUGAGGACCGGCAGUUGUGCUGUGGACGUCUGGGCAGUGAGAAGAUCCUUAUGAAGGAACACAAGGACAGCAUUUGCUGUGGAGACGUCCAGUACAACCCACAGACACAGCGCUGCUGCGGAGAUCCUCCUGAAAUAAAUGACCUCUCAAUUUCCUGUGAGACGGACUGUAAACAGGUUUUGACCCAAGAGCCUACAGCAAACAACAGGAUGUCGGGACCCCGGACAUUGUCCAAGUGCUGUGGACAGGAGGCCUAUAAUGUGGACCGGCAGUUGUGCUGUGGAAGUCUGCGCAAUGUGACGAUCCUUAUAAAGGAACAGAAGGGCAGCAUUUGCUGUGGAGACGUCCAGUACAACCCAGAGAAACAGGGCUGCUGUGGAGAUCCUCCUAAAAUAAAGGAACCCUCAGUUCCCUAUGAAACAGACUCAGAACAGGGUUUGACCCAAGAGCCCACAGUAAACAACAUGAUCCCGACACCCGGGACAUUGUCGAAGUGCUGUGGACUGGAGGCCUAUAAUGUGUACCGGCAGUUGUGCUGUGGAAGUCUGAGCAGUCAGAAGAUCCUUAUGAAGGAACACAAGGACAGCGUCUGCUGUGGAGACGUCCAGUACAACCCACAGAAACAGUGCUGUUGCGGGGAUCCUCCUAAAAUAAAUGAACUCUCAGUUUCCUAUGAGACCCAAGGGCCCACAGCAAACCACAUGGUGUCGGAACCCGGAACAUUGUCUAAGUACUGUGGACAGGAGGCCUAUAAUGAGGACCGGCAGUUGUGCUGUGGAAGUCUGCACAAUGCGAAGAUCCUUAUGAAGGAACAGAAGGAAAGCCUUUGCUGUGGAGACGUCCAGUACAACCCAGAGACACAGGGCUGCUGUGGAGAUCCUCCUGAAAUAAAAGACCUCUUAGAUUAACUGUGAGACGGACUGAAAACAGGGUUCGACCCGUCUCCUUCAACCCACUGCUCUUUUGAACAUAGCACCUUUUCAAUCAAGGAAAAAAAUAUUUGCUUUGACUAGCACUAUCUAACUGUUUGUAAUUGUGUCAAACUUGAAGAUCCUUUAUUUCCUUGAAAAAGAUUGCUUAUUUUGUCUUAUCUAAGUUGUUAAUUUUCUCUGCAAACGGGAAAUAUUUUUGAAUGUAGAACAGUGCAAAUGUAGAAGCGAAUAUGCCCAAAUAUACCUGCCCCUUUACAUUUGUCCAUGUUAUGAUUAUUACUUUUAUCCUGCAAGUUUAGCUCAGGAACAAUACUAUACAAUGGUGUAUUCCCUUUUUGCUAGUUAAAGCACAAUGAAAUGGUUAAUUCUAGGGAUGGGCGUGAGGAAUCGAUUACACGAGUACUCGUUACUCGGGACAAGCAAACUCGAGUUUGCAUACACACACAGACAACUUUUCUGAAGCAAAUGCAGUGUUUCCCCUACCAUUGUUCAGGCCUGGCGGGCCGCCAGGCCAACGAGCGCCCCCGCCAGGCCAACAACAGGCCAAAAAAAAAAAAUAAUAAUAAUAAUAAUGAAAAGAAAAGAAAAAAAAAGUGUCGCGCGUGCGCAGAUUAUGCCCCAUCAUAACGGACAAUCUGACAGCAUUAAGUUAUAUCAUCAUUAGCAUGGCACUGUCACACUAAAUUUGUACCGGCUGCCAAAUACGUAAUCCAUUCCAAACCUGCCCGGCAACAGAUGAUCAGAACCUUUUCGAAUGACGUGAAAGGUUCACGAACAUUCGCGAACCUUCUAUCUAGCGAUCCGUUAUCUGUAUUGUGCUAUUUCGUCCUUGACCUGCUAUAAACACUCAGUUUACUUGCUAAAUUUGAUUAAACAAUGAAAUACAAUACAAAUAUAAAGUAAAAACAAGUGUUAUCUAGCGAUCCGUUUUCUGUAUUAUGUUAUUUCGUCUUUGGCAACAUGAGCGCAAAUGUUUUUUGAAACCCGCUUUAAACACUCAGUUU